UACGUAGGUGGCGAGCGUUGUCCGGAAUUAUUGGGCGUAAAGGGAGCGCAGGCGGGAGGCCAAGUCUAUCUUAAAAGUGCGGGGCUCAACCCCGUGAGGGGAUGGAAACUGGUCUUCUUGAGUGCAGGAGAGGAAAGCGGAAUUCCUAGUGUAGCGGUGAAAUGCGUAGAUAUUAGGAGGAACACCAGUGGCGAAGGCGGCUUUCUGGACUGUAACUGACGCUGAGGCUCGAAAGCGUGGGGAGCGAACAGG
rnacentral:rRNA from 1 species